CUUAUCAAAUGGAAUUUAUUCCCUGGCACCCUGAGCUACUGGAGCACAGUGAUGAGAUCUUGGCUCACUGCAAUCUCUGCCUUCUGGGUACAAGCAAUUAAUUCUCCUGCCUCAGACUGCUGAAUACCACGUUGCAUAACCCUCAUCUCUUGGUGACACAUGGUCAUUUCUUCAGGAAGAGACUGGCUCUCUGCAUGGAGGACCUCCAUAAUUCUCUCAUCCAAGUGACAUGGGAUAUUUAAUGUUAAAAUGAUUAAAUAUUAUGUAAAGGACACAAAAUCUGAAACACUGUUUUUUCUUCUGUAAAACAACUUUUUAAAAUUAUUUCUUGUAUGAC
rnacentral:lncRNA from 1 species